GAUGAACGCUGGCGGCGUGCCUAAUACAUGCAAGUCGAGCGAACGGACGAGAAGCUUGCUUCUCUGAUGUUAGCGGCGGACGGGUGAGUAACACGUGGAUAACCUACCUAUAAGACUGGGAUAACUUCGGGAAACCGGAGCUAAUACCGGAUAAUAUUUUGAACCGCAUGGUUCAAAAGUAAAAGACGGUCUUGCUGUCACUUAUAGAUGGAUCCGCGCUGCAUUAGCUAGUUGGUAAGGUAACGGCUUACCAAGGCAACGAUGCAUAGCCGACCUGAGAGGGUGAUCGGCCACACUGGAACUGAGACACGGUCCAGACUCCUACGGGAGGCAGCAGUAGGGAAUCUUCCGCAAUGGGCGAAAGCCUGACGGAGCAACGCCGCGUGAGUGAUGAAGGUCUUCGGAUCGUAAAACUCUGUUAUUAGGGAAGAAUAUAUGUGUAAGUAACUGUGCACAUCUUGACGGUACCUAAUCAGAAAGCCACGGCUAACUACGUGCCAGCAGCCGCGGUAAUACGUAGGUGGCAAGCGUUAUCCGGAAUUAUUGGGCGUAAAGCGCGCGUAGGCGGUUUUUUUAAGUCUGAUGUGAAAGCCCACGGCUCAUCCGUGGAGGGUCAUUGGAAACUGGAAAACUUGAGUGCAGAAGAGGAAAGUGGAAUUCCAUGUGUAGCGGUGAAAUGCGCAGAGAUAUGGAGGAACACCAGUGGCGAAGGCGACUUUCUGGUCUGUAACUGACGCUGAUGUGCGAAAGCGUGGGGAUCAAACAGGAUUAGAUACCCUGGUAGUCCACGCCGUAAACGAUGAGUGCUAAGUGUUAGGGGGUUUCCGCCCCUUAGUGCUGCAGCUAACGCAUUAAGCACUCCGCCUGGGGAGUACGACCGCAAGGUUGAAACUCAAAGGAAUUGACGGGGACCCGCACAAGCGGUGGAGCAUGUGGUUUAAUUCGAAGCAACGCGAAGAACCUUACCAAAUCUUGACAUCCUUUGACAACUCUAGAGAUAGAGCCUUCCCCUUCGGGGGACAAAGUGACAGGUGGUGCAUGGUUGUCGUCAGCUCGUGUCGUGAGAUGUUGGGUUAAGUCCCGCAACGAGCGCAACCCUUAAGCUUAGUUGCCAUCAUUAAGUUGGGCACUCUAAGUUGACUGCCGGUGACAAACCGGAGGAAGGUGGGGAUGACGUCAAAUCAUCAUGCCCCUUAUGAUUUGGGCUACACACGUGCUACAAUGGACAAUACAAAGGGCAGCGAAACCGCGAGGUCAAGCAAAUCCCAUAAAGUUGUUCUCAGUUCGGAUUGUAGUCUGCAACUCGACUACAUGAAGCUGGAAUCGCUAGUAAUCGUAGAUCAGCAUGCUACGGUGAAUACGUUCCCGGGUCU
rnacentral:rRNA from 1 species